UACCAGCACCCCGAGUGGUCGGGACGAUUAUUGGGCCUAAAGUAUCCGUAGCCGGUUUUACAAGUCCUCCGUUAAAUCCAGCUGCUUAACAGAUGGGCUGCGGAGGAUACUAUAAGACUAGGAGGCAGGAGAGGCAAGCGGUACUCAGUGGGUAGGGGUAAAAUCCGUUGAUCCAUUGAAGACCACCAGUGGCGAAGGCGGCUUGCCAGAAUGCGCUCGACGGUGAGGGAUGAAAGCUGGGGGAGCAAACCGG
rnacentral:rRNA from 1 species